rnacentral:rRNA from 1 species
CGAGCGAGACCUUCGGGUCUAGCGGCGGACGGGUUAGUAACGCGUGGGAACGUGCCCUUUACUACGGAAUAGUCCCGGGAAACUGGGUUUAAUACCGUAUACGCCCUUCGGGGGAAAGAUUUAUCGGUAAAGGAUCGGCCCGCGUUAGAUUAGAUAGUUGGUGGGGUAAUGGCCUACCAAGUCUACGAUCUAUAGCUGGUUUGAGAGGAUGAUCAGCAACACUGGGACUGAGACACGGCCCAGACUCCUACGGGAGGCAGCAGUGGGGAAUCUUAGACAAUGGGCGCAAGCCUGAUCUAGCCAUGCCGCGUGAGUGACGAAGGCCUUAGGGUCGUAAAGCUCUUUCGCCAGGGAUGAUAUGACAGUACCUGGUAAAAAAACCCCGGCUAACUCCGUGCCAGCAGCCGCGGUAAUACGGAGGGGGUAAGCGUUGUUCCGGAUACUGGGCGUAAAGCCGACGUGGCGGACUGAAAGUUGGGGUGAAAUCCCGGGCUCACCU